rnacentral:rRNA from 1 species
GACGAACGCUGGCGGCGUGCCUAAUACAUGCAAGUCGAACGCACUCUCGUUUAGAUUGAAGGAGCUUGCUCCUGAUUGAUAAACAUUUGAGUGAGUGGCGGACGGGUGAGUAACACGUGGGUAACCUGCCCUAAAGUGGGGGAUAACAUUUGGAAACGGAUGCUAAUACCGCAUAAAACCUAACACCGCAUGGUGUAGGGUUGAAAGAUGGUUUCGGCUAUCACUUUAGGAUGGACCCGCGGUGCAUUAGUUAGUUGGUGAGGUAAAGGCUCACCAAGACCGUGAUGCAUAGCCGACCUGAGAGGGUAAUCGGCCACACUGGGACUGAGACACGGCCCAGACUCCUACGGGAGGCAGCAGUAGGGAAUCUUCCACAAUGGACGAAAGUCUGAUGGAGCAACGCCGCGUGAGUGAAGAAGGUUUUCGGAUCGUAAAACUCUGUUGUUGGAGAAGAAUGUAUCUGAUAGUAACUGAUCAGGUAGUGACGGUAUCCAACCAGAAAGCCACGGCU